rnacentral:rRNA from 1 species
UGAGGAAUAUUGGACAAUGGGUGAGAGCCUGAUCCAGCCAUCCCGCGUGAAGGACGACUGCCCUAUGGGUUGUAAACUUCUUUUAUACUGGGAUAAACCUACCCUCGUGAGGGUAGCUGAAGGUACAGUAUGAAUAAGCACCGGCUAACUCCGUGCCAGCAGCCGCGGUAAUACGGAGGGUGCAAGCGUUAUCCGGAUUUAUUGGGUUUAAAGGGUCCGUAGGCGGGCUCGUAAGUCAGUGGUGAAAUCUCAUAGCUUAACUAUGAAACUGCCAUUGAUACUGCGGGUCUUGAGUAAAGUAGAAGUGGCUGGAAUAAGUAGUGUAGCGGUGAAAUGCAUAGAUAUUACUUAGAACACCAAUUGCGAAGGCAGGUCACUAUGUUUUAACUGACGCUGAUGGACGAAGCGGUGGGGCAGCAGAACAGGAUUAGAUACCCUGGUAGUCCACGCCGUAAACGAUGCUAACUCGUUUUUGGGUUUUUCGGAUUCAGAGACUAAGCGAAAGUGAU